CUUUUUCACUGACUAUCAUCUUUGGAGUUUACUCUACCUUCUUCCAAGAAGAUGAAAAUCAGCUUUUCCUCUGUGUGUGUGUGUGUGUGUGUGUGUGUGUGUGUGUGUGUGUGUGUGUGUGUGUCUAGUUCUGUGCUUGUGUGUACAGAUGCAUAUAGGCAAAAAGAAGGACCCACAUGGCUUCAUUCAUAACCUUACAACUUUUUUUUAUAGAUCUUUAUACCCAGAAAUUUGUCUGUUCCUUCUAAAUCAUCUAGAAUUUCUCAAAGGAAAAGAUAAUUCAUUGUCCUGUUGCCUAAAAGCAGCUGCUGCAGAUGUUUGGAGAGAAGGUGUAUAUAAACACCCUGAAGAGAUAAUGUCUCUCACCAGCAUGGAACUCACCAAGCAGGCUAACCAGGCUAGGCUGCUCAGCGAACCCCAGAAAUUUGUCUGUCUCCAUGUUUCCAACCCUGGCAUUACCAGCUUGCUGCAACACACCUGGCAUCUGGGGAGAGAACUCAGGUCUUUAUGCUUGAGAG